rnacentral:rRNA from 1 species
AGUGAACGCUGGCGGUAGGCCUAACACAUGCAAGUCGAACGGCAGCACAGUAAGAGCUUGCUCUUACGGGUGGCGAGUGGCGGACGGGUGAGGAAUACAUCGGAAUCUACUUUUUCGUGGGGGAUAACGUAGGGAAACUUACGCUAAUACCGCAUACGACCUACGGGUGAAAGCAGGGGAUCUUCGGACCUUGCGCGAUUGAAUGAGCCGAUGUCGGAUUAGCUAGUUGGCGGGGUAAAGGCCCACCAAGGCGACGAUCCGUAGCUGGUCUGAGAGGAUGAUCAGCAACACUGGAACUGAGACACGGUCCAGACUCCUACGGGAGGCAGCAGUGGGGAAUAUUGGACAAUGGGCGCAAGCCUGAUCCAGCCAUACCGCGUGGGUGAAGAAGGCCUUCGAGUUGUAAAGCCCUUUUGUUGGGAAAGAAAAGCAGCAGGUUAAUACCCCGCUGUUCUGACGGUACCCAAAGAAUAAGCACCGGCUAACUUCGU